GCGGGUGUAGUUCAGUGGUAGAACAUCAGCUUCCCAAGCUGAGAAUGGGGGUUCGAUUCCCCCCACCCGCU
rnacentral:tRNA from 1 species